ACAGCGAGAUGAGCCAAGGCUGCGGCCAGGUUCAAGUAAUCCAGGAUAGGCUGUGUCCAGCUGCGGGCCUAUCCUUGAUUGCUUGUUUCUGGAGGUGGCCCACUGCACCCUGCCAGAAG
rnacentral:pre_miRNA from 15 species